UACGUAGGGUGCGAGCGUUAAUCGGAAUUACUGGGCGUAAAGCGUGCGCAGGCGGCGCGUUAAGACAGGUGUGAAAGCCCCGAGCUUAACUUGGGAAUUGCGCUUGUGACUGGCGUGCUGGAGUGUGGCAGAGGGGAGGUGGAAUUCCACGUGUAGCAGUGAAAUGCGUAGAGAUGAUGGAGGAACACCGAUGGCGAAGGCAGCCUCCUGGGCCAGCACUGACGCUCAUGCACGAAAGCGUGGGGAGCAAACAGG
rnacentral:rRNA from 1 species